UACGUAGGGGGCAAGCGUUGUCCGGAAUUAUUGGGCGUAAAGAGCUCGUAGGCGGUCUGUUGCGUCGGCUGUGAAAACCCGGGGCUCAACUCCGGGCCUGCAGCCGAUACGGGCAGACUAGAGUUCGGCAGGGGAGACUGGAAUUCCUGGUGUAGCGGUGAAAUGCGCAGAUAUCAGGAGGAACACCGGUGGCGAAGGCGGGUCUCUGGGCCACUACUGACGCUGAGAAGCGAAAGCAUGGGGAGCGAACAGG
rnacentral:rRNA from 1 species